UACGUAGGGGGCGAGCGUUAUCCGGAUUUACUGGGCGUAAAGCGCGUUAAGGCGGUUGGCAAAGUUGGUUGUGAAAUCUCUGGGCUCAACCCAGAAAUUGCGACCAAUACUGGUCGACUAGAGUGCAAGAGAGGAAGGUGGAAUUCCCGGUGUAGUAGUGAAAUGCGUAGAUAUCGGGAGGAACACCAGUGGCGAAGGCGGCCUUCUGGCUUGCAACCGACGCUGUAGCGCGAAAGCGUGGGGAGCGAACCGG
rnacentral:rRNA from 1 species